rnacentral:tRNA from 1 species
GCUAAUUUGGCAGAUAAAUUGUUUUAAAUUUAGAAUUUAAUUAUAUGAGUAAAAUUCAUAUUUAGCA